rnacentral:miRNA from 1 species
UGCUCACUCUCUAUCUGUCACC